rnacentral:rRNA from 1 species
CAGCGCCACGAGUGGCAAUCACGAUUAUUGGGCCUAAAGCGUCCGUAGCCGGUCCGGUAAAUCCUUUGUGAAAUCGCCAGGCUUAACCUGGCGGCGUGCAGGGGACACUGCCGGACUCGAGACCGGGAGGAGUCAGAAGUAUUUCUGGGGGAGCGGUAAAAUGCUAUAAUCCCUGAAGGACUACCUAUGGCGAAGGCAUCUGACCAGAACGGAUCUGACGGUGAGGGACGAAAGCCAGGGGAGCGAACCGGAUUAGAUACCCGAGUAGUCC